GACGAACGCUGGCGGCGCGCCUAACACAUGCAAGUCGAACGGGAUCUUUUAGAGAGCUUGCUCUCUGGCUGAUCUAGUGGCGGACGGGUGAGUAACACGUGAGCAACCUGCCGAGGAGUGGGGGAUAACGUCUGGAAACGGACGCUAAUACCGCAUAACAUCACCGGAUGACAUCGUCUGGUGAUCAAAGGAGCAAUCCGCUUUUUGAUGGGCUCGCGCCCGAUUAGAUAGUUGGUGAGGUAACGGCUCACCAAGUCGACGAUCGGUAGCCGGACUGAGAGGUUGAACGGCCACAUUGGGACUGAGACACGGCCCAGACUCCUACGGGAGGCAGCAGUGGGGAAUAUUGGGCAAUGGGGGAAACCCUGACCCAGCGACGCCGCGUGAGUGAAGACGGCCUUCGGGUUGUAAAGCUCUGUUUCGAGGGACGAUAAUGACGGUACCUCGGGAGGAAGCCACGGCUAACUACGUGCCAGCCGCCGCAGUAAAAC
rnacentral:rRNA from 1 species